rnacentral:rRNA from 1 species
GACGAACGCUGGCGGCGUGCUUAACACAUGCAAGUCGAACGGAAAGGCCCUGCUGUUUUGUUGUGCUCGAGUGGCGAACGGGUGAGUAACACGUGAGUAACCUGCCCUUGACUUUGGGAUAACUUCAGGAAACUGGGGCUAAUACCGGAUAGGAGCUCCUGCUGCAUGGUGGGGGUUGGAAAGUUUCGGCGGUUGGGGCUGGACUCGCGGCUUAUCAGCUUGUUGGUGGGGUAGUGGCUUACCAAGGCUUUGACGGGUAGCCGGCCUGAGAGGGUGACCGGCCACAUUGGGACUGAGAGACGGCCCAGAAUGCUACGGGAGGCAGCAGUGGGGAAUAUUGCACAAUGGGCGGAAGCCUGAUGCAGCAACGCCGCGUGCGGGAUGACGGCCUUCGGGUUGUAAACCGCUUUCGCCUGUGACGAAGCGUGAGUGACGGUAAUGGGUAAAGAAGCCCCGGCUAACUACGUG